GUGAGGAAUUUUCCGCAAUGGGCGAAAGCCUGACGGAGCAAUGCCGCGUGAAGGAUGAAGGCCUAUGGGUUGUAAACUUCUUUUCUCAGAAAAGAAUUAUGACGGUAUCUGAGGAAUAAGCAUCGGCUAACUCUGUGCCAGCAGCCGCGGUAAGACAGAGGAUGCAAGCGUUAUCCGGAAUGAUUGAGCGUAAAGCGUCUGUAGGUUGUUUAAAAAGUAUUCUGUCAAAGAUUAGGGCUUAACCCUAGAUAGGCAGAAUAAACUUUUAAGCUAGAGUUUGGUAGAGGCAGAGGGAAUUCCCGGUGGAGCGGUGAAAUGCGUAGAUAUCGGGAGGAACACCAAAGGCGAAGGCACUCUGCUGGGCCAAUACUAACACUGAGAGACGAAAGCGAGGGGAGCAAAUGGGAUUAGAUACCCUUGUAGUCC
rnacentral:rRNA from 1 species